AUCUUGGAGGCAGCAGUUUUCGGGGGUUCAGGGGCAGGACUGAGGCUUAGCACACGAACUCCAGGAGCCCCAGGAAGCCAGGGAGGAGAAGACACCAGGCUCCAUGCUCUAAGCCCAACAUCAACACCGCUCACUCUUCCUCUCUUCAUCCCUGAAUGACCCGCCCAUCUCUACACUCCCCGAGCCAGUCCCCUCUCGGACAGCUGCUUUGUUCAUACUCACCAGGGGAGGGGAGUGGCCAGCAGGAGACACCUCCCAGGGGCCUUCGGGAAGCUAACACAGAGCUGGAUGCAAAGUGCAGCGGAAUAACUAUCUGCAGGUGAACGAGACAGUCCCUACAAGCUAGCAAGCAGUGGGCAGGGAAGAUGAGGAAACAGGCUCCCAAAGCCUAACUUGCUCCUAGCCCCUCACCAUCUGCCGGCCUCGGGCUACAGCUGCAUGAACGUUCU